rnacentral:rRNA from 1 species
GAUGAACGCUAGCGGGAGGCUUAACACAUGCAAGUCGAGGGGCAGCACUAUGUAGCAAUACGUUGGUGGCGACCGGCGCACGGGUGAGUAACACGUAUGCAACCUACCCUGUACAGGGGGAUAACCCGGAGAAAUUCGGACUAAUAUCCCAUGAUGAUAUUAGAAGGCAUCUUUAAAUAUUUAAAGCUCAGGCGGUACGGGCUGGGCAUGCGGAACAUUAGCUAGUUGGCAGGGUAACGGCCUACCAAGGCUACGAUGUUUAGGGGACCUGAGAGGGUGAUCCCCCACACUGGUACUGAGACACGGACCAGACUCCUACGGGAGGCAG